rnacentral:rRNA from 2 species
AGGUUAAGUUAACAAGGGCGCAUGGUGAAUGCCUUGGCACUAGGAGCCGAUGAAGGACGGGACUAACACCGAUAUGCUUCGGGGAGCUGUACGUAAGCUAUGAUCCGGAGAUUUCCGAAUGGGGCAACCCAGCAGUUUUAAUCAACUGUUACCACUAGAUGAAUUCAUAGUCUAGUUGGAGGUAAACGCUGUGAACUGAAACAUCUCAUUAGCAGCAGGAAUAUAAAGAAAUUUCGAUUCCCUAAGUAGCGGCGAGCGAACGGGGAACAGCCCAAACCAAAGUGCUUGCACUUUGGGGUUGUAGGACUGAACAUUUGAGUUACCAAAGAACUUGAUAGUCGAAGGAUUUGGGAAAAUCCGCCAUAGAUGGUGAUAGCCCAGUAGAUUAAAUCAAAUUCUCUCAGUUCAGGAUCCUGAGUACGGCGGAACACGUGAAAUUCCGUCGGAAUCCGGGAGGACCAUCUCCCAAGGCUAAAUACUACCUAGUGACCGAUAGUGAACCAGUACCGUGAGGGAAAGGUGAAAAGCACCCCGGGAGGGGAGUGAAAUAGUUCCUGAAACCAUGUGCCUACAAUAAGUCAGAGCGCGUUAAUGCGUGAUGGCGUGCCUUUUGUAGAAUGAACCGGCGAGUUAUGUAUCGAUCCCGUGCAAGGUUAAGACUAAAAAGUCGGAGCCGUAGCGAAAGCGAGUCUGAAAUGGGCGCUUUGAGUACGAGGUUAUAGACCCGAAACCAGGUGACCUAUCCAUGUCCAGGUUGAAGGUGCGGUAAAACGCACUGGAGGACCGAACCCGUGUAAGUUGAAAAUUGCUGGGAUGAGGUGUGGAUAGCGGUGAAAUUCCAAACGAACUUGGAGAUAGCUGGUUCUCUCCGAAAUAGCUUUAGGGCUAGCCUCGGAAUUAGGAUCAUGGAGGUAGAGCACUAUUUGGACUAGGGGCCCGUCUUGGGUUACUGAAUUCAGAUAAACUCCGAAUGCCAUUGAUUCAUAUCCGGGAGUCAGACGAUGAGUGAUAAGAUCCACCGUCGAAAGGGGAACAGCCCAGACCAUCAGUUAAGGUCCCUAAAUGUAUGCUAAGUGGAAAAGGAUGUGGAGUUGCAUAGACAACUAGGAUGUUGGCUCAGAAGCAGCCACCUUUAAAGAGUGCGUAAUAGCUCACUAGUCGAGUGAUCCUGCGCCGAAAAUGUACCGGGGCUAAGCAUACUACCGAAACCAUGGAUGCGACCAUUAGGUCGCGUGAUAGGAGAGCGUUCUAAGGGCGGUGAAGCAAGAUCGUGAGGACUUGUGGAGCGCUUAGAAGUGAGAAUGCCGGUAUGAGUAGCGAAAGAUAGGUGAGAAUCCUAUCCACCGAAUGACUAAGGUUUCCUGGGGAAGGCUCGUCCUCCCAGGGUUAGUCGGGACCUAAGUCGAGGCCGAGAGGCGUAGACGAUGGAUAACAGGUUGAGAUUCCUGUACUAGUUAAGUGCGUUUGAGCAAUGGAGGGACGCAGGAGGCUAAGAUGUGCAUUCUGUUGGAUUAGAAUGUCCAAGCAGUAAGUCUUGUGAAGAGUCAAAUGCUUUUCACUUUAGGACAAGCUGUGAUGGGGAGCGAAAUUUAGUAGCGAAGCGUCUGAUGUCACACUGCCGAGAAAAGCUUCUAGUGAGUACUUAACUACCCGUACCGCAAACCGACACAGGUAGUCGAGGAGAGAAUCCUAAGGUGAGCGAGUGAACUCUCGUUAAGGAACUCGGCAAAAUGACCCCGUAACUUCGGGAGAAGGGGUGCUGAUCGCAAGAUCAGCCGCAGUGAAUAGGCCCAGGCGACUGUUUAUCAAAAACACAGGUCUCUGCAAAAUCGUAAGAUGACGUAUAGGGGCUGACGCCUGCCCGGUGCUGGAAGGUUAAAAGGAUGGGUUAGCUUCGGCGAAGCUCAGAAUUGAAGCCCCAGUAAACGGCGGCCGUAACUAUAACGGUCCUAAGGUAGCGAAAUUCCUUGUCGGGUAAGUUCCGACCCGCACGAAAGGCGUAACGAUCUGGGCACUGUCUCAACGAGAGACUCGGUGAAAUUAUAUUGUCCGUGAAGAUGCGGACUACCCGCGACAGGACGGAAAGACCCCAUGGAGCUUUACUGUAGCUUGAUAUUGAGUGUUUGUACAGCUUGUACAGGAUAGGUAGGAGCCAUAGAAACCGGAACGCUAGUUUCGGUGGAGGCGUUGGUGGGAUACUACCCUCGCUGUAUGACCACUCUAACCCGCACCACUAAUCGUGGUGGGAGACAGUGUCAGGUGGGCAGUUUGACUGGGGCGGUCGCCUCCUAAAAAGUAACGGAGGCGCCCAAAGGUUCCCUCAGAAUGGUUGGAAAUCAUUCGCAGAGUGUAAAGGCACAAGGGAGCUUGACUGCGAGACAGACAGGUCGAGCAGGGACGAAAGUCGGGCUUAGUGAUCCGGUGGUACCGUAUGGAAGGGCCAUCGCUCAACGGAUAAAAGCUACCCUGGGGAUAACAGGCUUAUCUCCCCCAAGAGUCCACAUCGACGGGGAGGUUUGGCACCUCGAUGUCGGCUCAUCGCAUCCUGGGGCUGUAGUCGGUCCCAAGGGUUGGGCUGUUCGCCCAUUAAAGCGGUACGCGAGCUGGGUUCAGAACGUCGUGAGACAGUUCGGUCCCUAUCCGUCGCGGGCGUAGGAAAUUUGAGAGGACCUGUCCUUAGUACGAGAGGACCGGGAUGGACAUACCUCUGGUGUACCAGUUGUGCCGCCAGGCGCAUCGCUGGGUAGCUACGUAUGGAUGUGAUAAACGCUGAAAGCAUCUAAGUGUGAAACACACCUCGAGAUGAGAUUUCCCAUUCCUUUAUGGAAGUAAGACCCCUGAAAGAUGAUCAGGUAGAUAGGUUAGAAGUGGCAGUGCGGUGACGCAUGAAGCGGACUAAUACUAAUCGGUCGAGGACUUAACCAAG